CCGACGUUGGCGAAGCCGGUGUUGAUGUUGCCGGGGUUGAAGCUUCCGGUGUUCAGAUCACCGGCGUUGGAACCACCGGUGUUGAA
rnacentral:tRNA from 1 species